rnacentral:misc_RNA from 1 species
UUGAAAUGGAUAAGGAUGGAUAAUUCCUCAAUUUGAAAACGAGACAGCAUGACUGAUUGGCAGGUAGAAGCUGACUGAGGAAUUUCAGGUUUACCAAUGCAUAAUUUUUAUGAAUGAGCAUAUGAUGAUAAUUUUGCUGUGCAUCAAAAUGGUGCUGAGAGCUGUUGUAAUAUUCCUGCUUGUUUUUGUAUUUUUAAAUCCUUUCCUCCUCCAUUUAUGGUCCAAUAGAAGUACAUAUGAAAGCCAGAUAGUUUACACCUAAACUUUCUUCACUAAUGUGGUUGA